rnacentral:RNase_P_RNA from 1 species
AGCAGGACAGGCAAUCGCACUGCGUCCGCAGUGAGGAAAGUCCGAGCACCAUAGAGCAGGACGCCGGAUAACGCCCGGUGGAGGCGACUCCAAGGAAAGUGCAACAGAAAUAUACCGCCGCGUCAGCGGUAAGGGUGGAAAGGCGAGGCAAGAGCUCACCGGCGCGCUUGGCGACUUGCGCGCCCUGUAAACCCCGUCCGGUGCAAGAUUGGUAUGGGAGCAUUUAAUAGCUGCUCGCUAAGCUCCAUGUAAUCGCGCGAGCCUGCCGGCGACGGCAGGCCAAGAUAGAUGAUUGCCCUUAGACAGAACUCGGCUUAUGGCCUGACUCA